GAGCUUAUAAAUAACAAGGUGACACUCUUUCCUCUCCUACAUUCAUUGACUGUCGCUGUGUGCUCGAGCAGAUUAUCCCGGACCCUCCGAAAGCCGUAACAAACCGCUUCCAGCCAUGUACGCCUGCGCCAAGUUCGUCACUUCUCCAGCUGUGCUGCGUGGGGGGUCCAGAAUCCUCGCCCGGCCGGCUUCAGUCUCCCUCUUCAACAGACCUGAAGCCUCAGUGGAGCAGCAGGUC